rnacentral:rRNA from 1 species
UACGGGGGGAGCAAGCGUUGUUCGGAUUUACUGGGCGUAAAGGGCGCGUAGGCGGCGUGACAAGUCACUUGUGAAAUCUCCGGGCUUAACCCGGAGCGGCCAAGUGAUACUGUCGUGCUAGAGUGCGGAAGGGGCUACUGGAAUUCUCGGUGUAGCGGUGAAAUGCGUAGAUAUCUGGAGGAAUACCGGUGGCGAAGGCGGCAUCCUGGACCGACAUUGACGCUGAUGAGCGAAAGCUAGGGGAGCAAACGGG